rnacentral:rRNA from 1 species
UACGUAGGGUGCAAGCGUUAAUCGGAAUUACUGGGCGUAAAGCGUGCGCAGGCGGUUGUGCAAGACAGUUGUGAAAUCCCCGGGCUCAACCUGGGAACUGCAUCUGUGACUGCAUAGCUAGAGUACGGUAGAGGGGGAUGGAAUUCCGCGUGUAGCAGUGAAAUGCGUAGAGAUGUGGAGGAACACCGAUGGCGAAGGCAGCCCCCUGGGUCAACACUGACGCUCAUGCACGAAAGCGUGGGGAGCAAACAGG